AAUAGAUACCCCGGUAGUCCACACUGUAAACGUUGAUGACUCGCUGUGUGCGAUAUACUGUACGCGGCUAAGGGAAACCGAUAAGUCAUCCACCUGGGGAGUACGCCGGCAACGGUGAAACUCAAAGGAAUUGACGGGGGUCCGCACAAGCGGCGGAGCAUGCGGCUUAAUUCGAUGCAACGCGAAGAACCUUACCUAGGCUUGACAUAUACGGGAAGCAGGCAGAGAUGUCUGUGCCUUCGGGCUCGUAUACAGGUGGUGCAUGGCUGUCGUCAGCUCGUGUCGUGAGAUGUUGGGUUAAGUCCCGCAACGAGCGCAACCCUCGUCCUAUGUUGCCAGCGGGUAAUGCCGGGGACUCAUAGGAGAUUGCCGGGGUCAACUCGGAGGAAGGUGGGGACGACGUCAAGUCAUCAUGCCCCUUACGUCUAGGGCUGCACGCAUGCUACAAUGGCCGGUACAAAGGGCUGCAAUACCGCAAGGUUGAGCGAAUCCCAAAAAGCCGGUCUCAGUUCGGAUUGGGGU
rnacentral:rRNA from 1 species